GACGUAGGGUGCGAGCGUUGUCCGGAUUUAUUGGGCGUAAAGAGCUCGUAGGCGGCUUGUCGCGUCGUCUGUGAAAACCCGCAGCUCAACUGCGGGCUUGCAGGCGAUACGGGCAGGCUAGAGUUCGGUAGGGGAGACUGGAAUUCCUGGUGUAGCGGUGAAAUGCGCAGAUAUCAGGAGGAACACCGAUGGCGAAGGCAGGUCUCUGGGCCGAUACUGACGCUGAGGAGCGAAAGCGUGGGGAGCAAACAGG
rnacentral:rRNA from 1 species